rnacentral:rRNA from 1 species
CCUACGGGAGGCAGCAGUGAGGAAUAUUGGUCAAUGGGCGGGAGCCUGAACCAGCCAAGUCGCGUGAGGGCAGACGGUCCUAUGGAUUGUAAACCUCUUUAGGCGGGGAGCAAUGCCGGGCACGCGUGCCCGGAGGGAGAGUACCCGCAGUAUAAGCAUCGGCUAACUCCGUGCCAGCAGCCGCGGUUAUACGGAGGAUGCGAGCGUUAUCCGGAUUUAUGGGGUUUAAAGGGUGCGUAGGCGGAGUUUUAAGUCAGCGGUAAAAUGUCCGGGCUCAACCCGGGCCGGCCGUUGAAACUGGGGAUCUUGAGUGGGCGAGAAGGAUGCGGAAUGCGUGGUGUAGCGGUGAAAUGCAUAGAGAUCACGCAGAACUCCGAGUGCGAAGGCAGCAUACCGGCGCCCGACUGACGCUGAGGCACGAAAGCGUGGGGAUCGAACAGGAUUAGAGACCCGGGUAGUC